AUGAAAUCGAAAAUAUUCCGAGAUGGCAAAUAUUCGGAGAUGACUAUGAAAACACCUCUCUGGAUCGUCGAAUUGAAAGAUGACGCUGCAAAAUGCACUAAAAUGACACUGUAA
rnacentral:rRNA from 1 species